rnacentral:misc_RNA from 1 species
CGGAGUUUUAGAGGCUGCUCUUGCAGUUUUAACUCCCUUUCUUGUCUAUUCAAAUUCAAAUACUUCGGCGGGAUCUCUUUGGAGCUUGCCUUUUGGCAAGUAAUGCCCGCCGAACAAUCAACACUUGAGAAUUUUGGCGUCUGAGUUUUAUUGAAAUGAAACA